GAUAUGCAAUAUACAAAAUUGAGAUCAACUUUUUCAAAAGCUAUUUUGUUAGAGACAGCAUUUGUCUUUUUCAGGACUGAGAUGAAUUUGAGAGUCUGUUACGGAAUUUUUCUCGUUGAGAAACAGCUGAGAUAAGGUCUCAAGGCGAUGACCGGCGAUUUGUUAUGGAAGUAAGGAAGAGGUCUAGAGAGGGGGACAAGUACUUUUGUUUGUGAAGAGAUAACAUGUACAGCAUUUGUACGACGAAAUGCAUUGGAGGUAGAAAGGAAAUCUGGUAUUAACUAUAAUAUCCAUUUUUCUUCUAAAAAUUACAAGGAAACUGGGACAUAUCAAUUCAAUAAACUUAGUUUUGUCAACGAAGAAGCAGGGCUAGUGCAUUGAUUCAGAAAG